rnacentral:tRNA from 1 species
GGGCGAAUAGCUCAGCUGGCCAGAGCGCCUGCUUCACACGCAGGAGGUCGCUGGUUCAAGUCCAGCUUCGCCCACCA